AUUGAACGCUGGCGGCAUGCCUUACACAUGCAAGUCGAACGGCAGCACGGGGGCAACCCUGGUGGCGAGUGGCGAACGGGUGAGUAACACAUCGGAACGUGCCCAGUAGUGGGGGAUAGCUCGGCGAAAGCCGGAUUAAUACCGCAUACGACCUACGGGUGAAAGCGGGGGAUCGCAAGACCUCGCGCUAUUGGAGCGGCCGAUGUCAGAUUAGGUUGUUGGUGGGGUAAAGGCCACCAAGCCGACGAUCUGUAGCUGGUCUGAGAGGACGACCAGCCACACUGGGACUGAGACACGGCCCAGACUCCUACGGGAGGCAGCAGUGGGGAAUUUUGGACAAUGGGCGCAAGCCUGAUCCAGCCAUGCCGCGUGCGGGAAGAAGGCCUCGGUGUAAC
rnacentral:rRNA from 1 species